rnacentral:misc_RNA from 1 species
CUCUCCCUCUUUUCUCUCAGGUGGGCGUCGCGAUGAAGUGGGCGUGGUUAUGGGCUUGUUUGUGGGCGGUCCUCGUUCCGGCGGGACUAGCCACCAAGUGUCGCCGCUCGCCCUUGAGCACUAACGCCCCGAAGACUCCGGGUGAUAAUUCUUUCAAGAUAAGCAUAAGUGGCAACCCUUCGAAGUAUUUUCCUGGGGAGGUCUAUACAGUGAGCCUUCAGGGAUGGCGCACGCAGUAUUCUGUUCAAAAGUUCAUCGGUUUCAUGCUCGUGGUGGAGCCCUCACACUCGCCAGUCGACAUCUUCGGUCCUCAGAGCGUGGGCACUUUCCAGCUGUAUGGAGACGCCCUGACAAUGCACUCGGAUGACUGUCCAAAUGCCGUUACUCAGACCUCGUCCAUUCUCAAGAGCGAGAUCCAAGUGCUGUGGACGGCCCCGCCAGCUGACUCCGGCUGCGUCACCUUCAGAGCGACGGUCGUUGAGACGAGAGACGUGUGGUACAUGGACGACGGCGAACUGACCAAGGAACUGUGCGAGGAAAUGCAAGAGAGCAAGAACAAGCAGCCGGAAAUCAUCCACGACUGUUUUGCUUGCGACGAGGCCAAGUAUGAGGUGACCUUCGAAGGCCUGUGGUCGCGCCACACGCACCCCAAGGACUUCCCGACCAACGAGUGGCUGACGCAUUUCUCUGACAUCAUCGGCGCCUCGCACUCCGCCAACUACCGCGUCUGGAAAUACGGCGGCUACGCUUCCGACGGCCUCCGCCAGGUGGCCGAGUGGGGCUCCACGCGCGCCCUCGAGAGCGAACUCAAGACCAAGAGUGACCACAUACGGACGAUCAUCAAGGCCCGAGGGCUCUGGUACCCCAACGUCAACGGCAAAACCUUCGCCGUGUUUCGGGUGGACAACAGGCAUCAUCUCAUGUCUCUGGUUUCCAUGCUGGGACCCUCUCCUGACUGGAUCGUAGGAGUGUCAGCGCUGGAGCUCUGUCUGAGAAACGGUUCUUGGUUGAAUGAGAAGACGCUCAACUUGUAUCCUUGGGACGCUGGCACGGAUUCAGGAGCGACGUAUGAGGCUGCAAACGCACCAACAAUUCCGAGGGAGAAAAUCCGUCGGAUCACCACCAGUUACCCUAACGACCCGAAGUCGCCGUUCUACGACCCGUCCGGACAAGACAUGAAGCCUUUGGCGCGAAUUACCAUCACUCGCCAGCGCGUCUACGAGAAGUCUUGCAGCGAAACCCCAGGACCCUAUGAAGAUGACGACAUCCCUGGCGGCUUCGAAGAGAGUGAUGAAGAUGCCAACAGACCGGAGUGUCAGGUCACCAGCUGGUCGCCCUUCUCCGCUUGCUCGGCCUCGUGCGGGAAGGGGCUGAGGAUGCGCACCCGCUCGUACUUGAUGUCUGUCAAGGCGGACAUGAUGGGAUGUAGGAGGCAGCUGGAGGAGAAGGAGAUGUGUUCGGCCCUGCAGCCCACGUGUCCCUUCGGCGGCUUCCAGGGCACUGGCGACGAGUAUCUGCCCGACUUCAACCGCAUGUGCGCCACCUCCGAAUGGUCGCCCUGGACGUCGUGCCCAGUCACCUGCGGCAAGUCUCUACGCAUGCGCAGUAGACGCUACGAGAAGCACAUGGACAGGAAGAAGUGCAGUAAGGAGCUGGUGGAGAAGGAGCCGUGCAUGGCAGACAUCCUGGAGUGCGACGAGCCAGAGGAACAGAUCAGCCCCGACUGCGCCGUGACCCAGUGGAACGAUUGGUCUCCCUGCACGAGGACCUGCGGGGAAGGGACCACAUCUCGUCACCGCGUCCCCCUGGUGCUGGGCUUCGAACACUGCAACGUGAAGACCAACGAAGUCAAGAAGUGCAGCGAGCGCAUCAACUGCAACAUCCACCCGUCCGAGAGAGAAGAGGUGUGCAUGCAGGAGAAGGAGGAAGGGCCUUGCCGCGCCGUCCUCAAGCGCUUCUACUACAACGUGGAUCACCAGCAGUGCCGCCAGUUCACCUACGGAGGCUGCAGGGGCAACAGGAACAAUUUCGAGACCUACGAUGAGUGUGCUCGGGCCUGCGAAUUCAAGCCUCACCCGGAUGCAGCACUUACCAUCCGCCCCACCAUCCCGACCCGGAACCGCGUAGCCGACGUCGACUGCCAGGUCAGCGAAUGGAGCGAGUGGAGUGCCUGCUCAAAGACCUGCGGCAAGGGAUGGGUCACCAGAACUCGGGAGAUCAGGGUCUUCCCUCAGCACGGUGGCCGCCCAUGUCCCAAGAAACUCAGAAGAAGACACAAGUGCACCAACCCCAAGUGCAACGACGGCUACAACGGCCUCCAGAGCAUGAGUCUCCACCGCGAGGAGGCGCUCGAGCCAUACCACGAGGAUAGCCACAGCUACCAGGAGCCGUACCGGGCCUACCCCGAGACCAGCCACCACCUCCGCCCCGAGACCGACCCUGCCUACGCCCAGACCAGCCACCACCUCUACCCGGAGACCAACCAGGCCUUCCGCGAGCCAGAGGAGCCCUACCAGGAGUCCUACCACAGCUACCAGAGCGGCUACCAGCCCCCCGUGCAGGAGCAGGGACCUGACCACCCCUUCCCGACGACCUCGUCCUACUACCCCUACGAGUACCUGGCGCCCUCGCUCUUCAACCCGCCUCCGCUCGGCGCCGCCGCCGAAGACACGCGCCCGGCGGUGGACGACGGAGAGAAGGUGGACUGCGCGAUGGGCGAGUGGGGGCCGUGGUCGCCCUGCACCCACUCGUGCGGCUCCGAAGCGCUCCAGCAGCGGUCGCGCACCGUCAUCGUCGAGCCCAGGAACGGCGGCAAGCAGUGCGACGACCGCUUGCAGCGCCGUUACUGCACGCUGCCCCCGUGCCCUCGCCCGAGGUACGUAGACUUCAGGUCCAUACCAUGGAGUAUAAAGUAUUAAAAAAAGCGAAAAAUGAAGUAUCAUACAGGAGGAAUAAGCAAAAGGCUGAGGAAACUCCGGCAACUCGACAGAGGGAACCCACCCGCGCACUCAUCCGCAACUCUGAGGACGAAAAGACACACAAAAACUCAUCAGAGACUGACCUUGGAUGACCUGUAAUGGCUGCAGUUAAUGAGCUAGUUUGUGGUUUUAAGAAUGGGACGUCGGGUUAAAGAGAGAGUGAUAAAAGAGGACGAGAGAAGAAAGAUGUAGUCGGGACAUGGCUAUUGCAUUUUUUUCUCUUUUUUCUUUUCUUUUUUCUCUUUCGUGAAGGAUUUAAAAAGGGGUUCAUGACGGAUAGGGUUAUAUUGGCCUUGUGAAGGAAUUUUAGAACGUGACAUAUCAUGUAAAAUUGAUAUUUUUGUAAUUUGUUUACAUACAUGUUAUAUCAAUCUAAUAACGUUAUUGAAAAAAAGUUAUAAAUCCUGCAACAAUAACAAAAACAAAUCCGAAUCUUAGAACAAAAACAAAAACAUUUUUAAUCCUGAAACAAAACCAAAAGGUCCUUCGAAUUAUCAGAAAAAAAAUCUCAUAACAAUAAGAUAUAUUUCGAACACAUUUCGAGUUCCACAACAAACAAAUUGAUUCUUACCCUAAUGGGACUUAGUGCUUGGAAACGGGUGAACACUGUCCCGCCCACAGCGCCCUCAUGCAAAGGCUCGGCAAGGAAAGGCGUGUAUAAGGCUUCCAGAUUAUAUAAGAAGACAAUGAGAAGGUAGACAAACAGAGUCGAAGAAAAAUGUAUUGGACAAAUGUACACUGACAGGUAGAGAAGAAAAAGGGAAAGGAUUAAGAGAAAGAUAUGGGAGCACGGGAAGGAAAGAAGAAAAAAGAAUAAAGAAAGAAGAAAUAAAGAAAAAGUACAUUAACUCGCCACUUCAAGUCUCGCCGUUGAACCAUUCUGCAUUUAACUUCUUCUUUUUUUUUUUUAGGACAUCCCUUCGAUAUUUUGAUUUUGAGUUGCGUCUCAGGUGAGGCGGUAUCCCUCCGCGAGAACCAUAUUUGUCACUCAUUUAUUGUACAUAGAUUUUUGGCCUUCCUAUUACCCCGAGCAGAGUGCACGACUGGCGAGGCUUACAAAAUGACCAUUGCGUUUGAGUCUCUUUUCUAUUAAGAACUCGUGUAUACGUCAGCUGCUAUAUGCACGACGCUCCCUAGAAUUUGUAUCAUAGUGAAUUUUAGACUUAGAUACCGGACGGCGGUGACUGUUCGUUCGUUCGUGUUUUUUUUUCUGAUUUACGUUUUUUAGGACGAAGCGAAGCAUAAUUGAAGACCUCUCCCUCGAGAUCCUCCCUCCGUCCCCCCUCCUUUCCUGAGGCGAAGGGACUCUUCGAUGGGACAAAGUCUUGGUCACGAGGCUCUCUUCAUGAACACACACACACCUACGCGAGGACGCUCGAGUGGUCAUUGCAAGUAACACAGAGAGGGCGAGCUCAGCCACAAACCCUCCUCGUCCGGUCAGGUCAAAACCGAGAGACUUUUCCAUACUCACAUCCAAGCACCGUCUGUGCACAUGGGGUAUUAGUUGUCGAUAGAUUUAUCUUUAAGUUUUACAAACGUUUCCUUUUCUCUUGUACUUUGGAUACACACAGAGACACUCAUAAGCCCUACAUAGCCCCUAGAGAAUCGGUGUCUCCCAGGUCACUCGUACCUACAGUGUUUAUAUAUUCCGUUUUCCUCACUUGAAACUUGUACUCGGUCACCCUCACCUGCAGAGACAAAUUAAACUCACAGUUCAUACCCAACAGCAACAGUUCACACCUAAGCCCCUUCCCUUACACUGGUCACACUCAGACCCCCUUCCCCCUAACAAGAGGUCACACUCAGACCCCCUUCCCCACUCCUCCCUUCCGACAAGAGUUCCUGACCCAAGGGCCCGACCUCCCGCCGAGUGCUAGCUCUAGUGACCCGUGUGUUUGAGCACAGGAAAAAAGUGCUAUAAUCAUAUCUUCUCCUUGAAGAGAUAUUGGAAUGUUUUUUUAUAGAGACUGUAUUCUCUUAUAUUUUUGUUUGUCUCUUCCGCAACAUUAAUAGACGUUUUAAGAUAAUUAGCAUCAGUUUGAUUUAAAUUAGUAAGAUUAAUGCCAGUGAUGUAAAAUUGCUCCGAGCUGCCCGUUCAUAAGGCCGGUUUUGGAAUCUGUUUCGUGGCAAUAUAUAGUUAUUCUUGUAUUCUCCCGUCUGUACUAAUGCAUUAUAUGAGUGAUGUAUCUAGGGUUCAUCAGUGAUAUCAAUGUCAUAUUUUAUAAUACAUACUAAUCUCAGCACUGCCUAAAGUUACUUCAGUGACACAUGAUAGAUAUAUGCAACAACCUGAGUUCACUUCCAGAGAAAUUUUUCUUUUGUGGAAAGCGCUAACAAGAUGGUAAUUCUUAGUGUUUUUUUGUUGUUUGUUUGUUUGUCUGUUUUUCAUCUAUGAAUUUAGCCCAAAUUUUAUUUUCGACUUUGUUUCCUAAAUUGGCAAACUGAUCCCUUUGGAAUAUAUAGAAAUGGAUGUUGUGUAUGUAUAGUGUUAAUAUUAAUAGCAUGCGUGCAUGACACUGUAUUAAAUACAUAAGUAUAGCUUCUUCUAAUGUUACGUAAUAUCUUAAUUUCUGUUCCUCAUGUAGAUGACCAUCACGUGAGGGACACUUGUAAUCUAAGUUGAAUGAGUACAUGAUAUGAUUUUUAUACAAUUAUGGAUUUUUACAAAUAAAAAACUUUGUAUGAAAUCAAAUACACAAACAGUCACUCAAAACUCUAGUUGUGUUGUUGUUUUUUAAAUCUUUGGAUGCAGAUUCCUCUUUGGUUUUUCAGUCUCUUUGAGAUAAUAUCAAAAACAAACAUUUGUACAUUCUCAGAUUGGUAAAAAUGAUUUUUUUUCAAGACACAACCCGAUAGAAGCCUACAGCUGAGAGAAACCUAGAUUCGGAAAAUAGAAUAAACAGAGAGGAAAAAAUAUAUAUAUUCAAGAGUGUUCUAAACCAACUUCAAAAGAUACCAAUAAUAAGCGAAUAAUGGAGAUAAAAUAACAAAAUAAUCAAUGAAGAUCACGUGACUUAUCAGGUUUGUAGUUCAGGAGUAACUUUAAUGUAGUAGAUUGUCAACGUGUCGACGUAAAAAUAAAGAUUGACGUCGCCUUUCUUGUAAAGUACAUAUCUUGCCAUAUCAAAAUAAAGAAUUGUAUCUUUA